rnacentral:rRNA from 1 species
ACUGGGACUGAGAUACGGCCCAGACUCCUACGGGAGGCAGCAGUGGGGAAUAUUGCACAAUGGACGAAAGUCUGAUGCAGCGACGCCGCGUGGGGGAUGAAGGUUUUCGGAUUGUAAACCCCUGUUAAGUGGGAAGAAAUGCCUACAAGUAAUAUGUGUAGGAGAUGACGGUACCACUAGAGAAAGCUCCGGCUAACUUCGUGCCAGCAGCCGCGGUAAUACGAAGGGAGCAAGCGUUAUUCGGAAUUGCUGGGCGUAAAGAGCGUGCAGGCGGUUGACUAAGUUGGUUGUUAAAUACCCUGGCUUAACUAGGGCUCAGCAAUUGAUACUGGUCGGCUAGAGGGCAAGAGAGAGAAGUGGAAUUCUUGGAGUAGCGGUAAAAUGCAUAGAUCUCAAGAGGAACACCAGUUGCGAAGGCGGCUUCUUGGCUUGUCCCUGACGCUGAGGCGCGAAAGCGUGGGGAGCAAACAGGAUUAGAUACCCUGGUAGUCCAUGCCGUAAACGAUGAUCACUAGAUGUGGGUUCUGUUUAACAGGAUCCGUGUCGAAGCCAACGCGUUAAGUGAUCCGCCUGGGGAGUACGGUCGCAAGAUUAAAACUCAAAGGAAUUGGCGGGGGACCGCACAAGCGUGGAACAUGUGGUUUAAUUCGACACUACGCGAGAAACCUUACCUAGGCUUGACAUGUACUUGCCCGCUGUAGAAAUACAGUUUUUUAAGUUUACUUAAACAGGUACACAGGUGCUGCAUGGCUGUCGUCAGCUCGUGUCGUGAGAUGUUGGGUUAAGUCCUUUAACGAGCGCAACCCUUGCCGUCAGUUGCUACUUCAUUUAUGGAGGCACUCUGGCGGGACUGCCUGGGAAACCAGGAGGAAGGUGGGGAUGACGUCAAGUCCUCAUGGCCCUUAUGUCUAGGGCAACACACGUGUUACAAUGGCUAGUACAAAGGGAAACAAACCCGCGAGGGGGAGUAAAUCUCAUAAAGCUAGUCUAAGUUGGGAUUGAAGUCUGCAAUUCGACUUCAUGAAGCUGAAAUCGCUAGUAAUCGCGUAUCAGAACGACGCGGUGAAUACGUUCUCGGACCUUGUACACACCGCCCGUCACACCACGAAAAUCGUCUACACCCGAAUUUGUCUUAGCUAACCCGUAAGGGAGGCGGAUAAUUAAGGUGUGGAGGGUAAUUGGGGUGAAGUCGGAACAAGGUA